rnacentral:rRNA from 1 species
AGACCCGAAACCCGGUGAUCUAGCCAUGGGCAGGUUGAAGGUUGGGUAACACUAACUGGAGGACCGAACCGACUAAUGUUGAAAAAUUAGCGGAUGACCUGUGGCUGGGGGUGAAAGGCCAAUCAAACCGGGAGAUAGCUGGUUCUCCCCGAAAGCUAUUUAGGUAGCGCCUCGUGAAUUCAUCUCCGGGGGUAGAGCACUGUUUCGGCUAGGGGGCCAUCCCGGCUUACCAACCCGAUGCAAACUGCGAAUACCGGAGAAUGUUAUCACGGGAGACACACGGCGGGUGCUAACGUCCGUCGUGAAGAGGGAAACAACCCAGACCGCCAGCUAAGGUCCCAAAGUCAUGGUUAAGUGGGAAACGAUGUGGGAAGGCCCAGACAGCCAGGAUGUUGGCUUAGAAGCAGCCAUCAUUUAAAGAAAGCGUAAUAGCUCACUGGUCGAGUCGGCCUGCGCGGAAGAUGUAACGGGGCUAAACCAUGCACCGAAGCUGCGGCAGCGACGCUUAUGCGUUGUUGGG